CAGCCGCCGCGGGAAUACGAAGGGUGCAAGCGUUACUCGGAAUUACUGGGCGUAAAGCGUGCGUAGGUGGUGGUUUAAGUCCGUUGUGAAAGCCCUGGGCUCAACCUGGGAAUUGCAGUGGAUACUGGGUCACUAGAGUGUGGUAGAGGAUAGUGGAAUUUCCGGUGUAGCAGUGAAAUGCGUAGAGAUCGGAAGGAACAUCUGUGGCGAAGGCGACUAUCUGGGCCAACACUGACACUGAGGCACGGAAGCGUGGGGAGCAAACAGGAUUAGAUACCCCUGUAGUCCCUGUCUCUUAUAC
rnacentral:rRNA from 1 species